UGAGGUCUUGAGUUCCUUGGCAAAUGAAGGU
rnacentral:piRNA from 1 species